rnacentral:rRNA from 1 species
AUAACAAUACAGGACUCUUUCAUGGCCCUGUAAUUGGAAUGAGUCCACUUUAAAUCCUUUAACGAGGAUCUAUUGGAGGGCAAGUCUGGUGCAGAGCGACUGACCCGUGCGUGCUGCAGCUGAAA